GAUGAACGCUGGCGGCGUGCCUAAUGCAUGCAAGUCGAGCGAACGGACGAGAAGCUUGCUUCUCUGAUGUUAGCGGCGGACGGGUGAGUAACACGUGGAUAACCUACCUAUAAGACUGGGAUAACUUCGGGAAACCGGAGCUAAUACCGGAUAAUAUUUUGAACCGCAUGGUUCAAAAGUGAAAGACGGUCUUGCUGUCACUUAUAGAUGGAUCCGCGCUGCAUUAGCUAGUUGGUAAGGUAACGGCUUACCAAGGCAACGAUGCAUAGCCGACCUGAGAGGGUGAUCGGCCACACUGGAACUGAGACACGGUCCAGACUCCUACGGGAGGCAGCAGUAGGGAAUCUUCCGCAAUGGGCGAAAGCCUGACGGAGCAACGCCGCGUGAGUGAUGAAGGUCUUCGGAUCGUAAAACUCUGUUAUUAGGGAAGAACAUAUGUGUAAGUAACUGUGCACAUCUUGACGGUACCUAAUCAGAAAGCCACGGCUAACUACAUG
rnacentral:rRNA from 1 species